CACAGUUAAACAGCAGGAAACUAUUGUUUACAAUAUUCAAAAUAAGGGAACGGGAGUCAUAUACAGGAUGUUAAAGAAAGGUCUGCUGAGCAGGGGUUUACUGCAAGGUGGAAAAGCCCUGGAAAUCUCUGCUGUGCCACUACCAGACAGGGGUGUCCAAAGGGGAAGGACUUUGCCCUGGGCACGGUGCAACCCACGGCACAAGGGAGCCACGUCCUGCUCUGAGCAAUGCCCUUGCUGGCCCUGUUCUGCAGUACAGCACUCUCAUGAGCAGCCUUAGUGGAUUCCUUCUUACACAAGGAAUGCUUCCACCAGAACCUAAUGGAACCAACUGUUUUUG
ensembl:lncRNA